rnacentral:sRNA from 1 species
GGAAAUUGCCUUUCAGGCAUCCUCUCCCAAACUUUCCAGAGCCGCCCGGUUUCGAGCGGCUCUUUUUUUUGCUCAAG